rnacentral:rRNA from 1 species
GACGAACGCUGGCGGCGUGCCUAAUACAUGCAAGUAGAACGCUGAAGGAGGAGCUUGCUUCUCUGGAUGAGUUGCGAACGGGUGAGUAACGCGUAGGUAACCUGCCUGGUAGCGGGGGAUAACUAUUGGAAACGAUAGCUAAUACCGCAUAAGAGUAGAUGUUGCAUGACAUUUGCUUAAAAGGUGCAAUUGCAUCACUACCAGAUGGACCUGCGUUGUAUUAGCUAGUUGGUGGGGUAACGGCUCACCAAGGCGACGAUACAUAGCCGACCUGAGAGGGUGAUCGGCCACACUGGGACUGAGACACGGCCCAGACUCCUACGGGAGGCAGCAGUAGGGAAUCUUCGGCAAUGGAGGAAGUCUGACCGAGCAACGCCGCGUGAGUGAAGAAGGUUUUCGGAUCGUAAAGCUCUGUUGUAAGAGAAGAACGAGUGUGAGAGUGGAAAGUUCACACUGUGACGGUAUCUUACCAGAAAGGGACGGCUAACUACGUG